rnacentral:tRNA from 1 species
UGAAAUGUAGUUCAUUGGUGGAGUUUUUGCUUAGCAUGCAUGAGGCCCUGGGCUCAAUCCCCAGCGCUCCAA